AACGAACGCUGGCGGCAGGCCUAACACAUGCAAGUCGAACGCGAACGCACCUUCGGGUGUUAUUAGAGUGGCAGACGGGUGAGUAACGCGUGGGUAUCUACCUAGUGGUAAGGAAUAACUCAGGGAAACCUGGGCUAAUACCUUAUAAGCCCUUCGGGGGAAAGAUUUAUCGCCAUUAGAUGAGCCCGCGUCGGAUUAGCUAGUUGGUGGGGUAAAAGCCUACCAAGGCGACGAUCCGUAGCUGGUCUGAGAGGAUGAUCAGCCACACUGGGACUGAGACACGGCCCAGACUCCUACGGGAGGCAGCAGUGGGGAAUAUUGGACAAUGGGCGCAAGCCUGAUCCAGCCAUGCCGCGUGAGUGAUGAAGGCCUUAGGGUUGUAAAACUCUUUCACCGGUGAAGAUAAUGACGGUAGCCGGAGAAGAAGCCCCGGCUAACUCCGUGCCAGCAGCCGCGGUAAU
rnacentral:rRNA from 1 species